GAACGUUGCAAGAUUCCCGAUAGGAUUUAAAGAUGUGUAUCUUUGAAGAUUCCUUGUAACCGACUAUUAUUCAGGGGGAAUAUAAAUG
rnacentral:sRNA from 2 species